UGGGGAAUAUUGGACAAUGGGCGAAAGCCUGAUCCAGCCAUGCCGCGUGAGUGAAGAAGGCCUUAGGGUUGUAAAGCUCUUUCAGCGGGGAAGAUAAUGACGGUACCCGCAGAAGAAGUCCCGGCUAACUUCGUGCCAGCAGCCGCGGUAAUACGAAGGGGACUAGCGUUGUUCGGAUUUACUGGGCGUAAAGCGCGCGUAGGCGGAUCACUAAGUCAGGGGUGAAAUCCCGAGGCUUAACCUCGGAACUGCCUUUGAUACUGGUGAUCUGGAGAUCGGGAGAGGUUGGUGGAAUUCCGAGUGUAGAGGUGAAAUUCGUAGAUAUUCGGAGGAACACCAGAAGCGAAGGCGGCCAACUGGCCCGAUUACUGACGCUGAGGCGCGAAAGCGUGGGGAGCAAAACA
rnacentral:rRNA from 2 species